GUUAAUUUGGGUGGUCUGGGCUCCUUGUUCACAGCUUACUAUGCAAAGCAACAUCCUUUGCAGUAAAAAAUACUCUUAUUUUUAAGGAGUACAAUAUUAUGAAAAAGGUUAGAAAAGGCUAUUAUGAAGUAUCAGCACAAUUUACUGAGGAGGAAAACAAAAACACAGAUCAGGAAAUACAAUAAUAGAGUAAGUUUGUAAACAGAACCAGGUUUGAUUCAGAUCUGUUUGACUUCAAAGUCUUAAGUUCAUUUCCACUUUCCUCACAUCUCUAAAAUCAAAACUGAAAUUAGAAUAGGCCUGUCUUACAGAGAGUGCUUUGACAGAAAAGGGGGAAAUUAAAAGUGAGGGAAUAUACAUGUCUUAUAUCUACAAUAUCCCUGGUGCUUUACAUUAAGAAUAUUACUCAGUUUUCUUAAUAGCUUUAACUUAUACAUAAACUAAUAGUGGACAGCCUUGGGGUUUUUUAUGAAUUUAAUUUACUCUUUUAUAAUGUUCUCUGUAUGCCUCAUUAAUUCUAAGAACUGACUUAGUUCUUAGAAAACAGAGGAUUCAGUUCUCAAGAGAAAUGUUGAUGAUAGAAAUUGCACUUAAUCCCAAGCCUUUAGACUGUGUGAUGGUAUAAUUCAUUCAGUAUAUGACUGUACA
rnacentral:lncRNA from 1 species